rnacentral:rRNA from 1 species
ACUCCUACGGGAGGCAGCAGUGGGGAAUAUUGCACAAUGGGCGCAAGCCUGAUGCAGCCAUGCCGCGUGUAUGAAGAAGGCCUUCGGGUUGUAAAGUACUUUCAGCAGUGAGGAAGGUGGAUAUGUUAAUAGCAUAUUCAUUUGACGUUAGCUGCAGAAGAAGCACCGGCUAACUCCGUGCCAGCAGCCGCGGUAAUACGGAGGGUGCGAGCGUUAAUCGGAAUUACUGGGCGUAAAGCGCAUGCAGGUGGUUUGUUAAGUCAGAUGUGAAAGCCCGGGGCUCAACCUCGGAAUUGCAUUUGAAACUGGCAAACUAGAGUACUGUAGAGGGGGGUAGAAUUUCAGGUGUAGCGGUGAAAUGCGUAGAGAUCUGAAGGAAUACCGGUGGCGAAGGCGGCCCCCUGGACAGAUACUGACACUCAGAUGCGAAAGCGUGGGGAGCAAACAGGAUUAGAUACCCCUGGUAGCUCUGC